rnacentral:rRNA from 1 species
CCCUUAGAUGUUCUGGGCCGCACGCGCGCUACACUGACGAAGUCAGCGAGCAUGUCCUACGCCGACAGGUGCGGGGAAUCUUGUCAAACUUCGUCGUGAUGGGGAUUGAUUUUUGAAAUUCUUGAUCAUAAACGAGGAAUUCCUAGUAAGCGCAAGUCAGCAGCUUGCGUUGAUUACGUCCCCGCCCUUUGUACACACCGCCCGUCGCUACUACCGAUUGAAUGGUUUAGUGAGAUCUUCGGAUUGGCGCCACUGCAGCUCAGCAAUGGGCUUGGUGGAUGCCGAAAAGUUGAUCAAACUUGAUCAUUUAGAGGAAGUAAAAGUCGUAACA